rnacentral:rRNA from 1 species
CACGUGGAUAACCUACAUAUAAGACUGGGAUAACUUCGGGAAACCGGAGCUAAUACCGGAUAAUAUUUUGAACCGCAUGGUUCAAAAGUGAAAGACGGUCUUGCUGUCACUUAUAGAUGGAUCCGCGCUGCAUUAGCUAGUUGGUAAGGUAACGGCUUACCAAGGCAACGAUGCAUAGCCGACCUGAGAGGGUGAUCGGCCACACUGGAACUGAGACACGGUCCAG